GAUGAACGCUGGCGGCGUGCCUAAUACAUGCAAGUCGAGCGAACAGACGAGGAGCUUGCUCCUCUGACGUUAGCGGCGGACGGGUGAGUAACACGUGGAUAACCUACCUAUAAGACUGGGAUAACUUCGGGAAACCGGAGCUAAUACCGGAUGAUAUAUUGAACCGCAUGGUUCAAUAGUGAAAGACGGUUUUGCUGUCACUUAUAGAUGGAUCCGCGCUGCAUUAGCUAGUUGGUAAGGUAACGGCUUACCAAGGCAACGAUGCGUAGCCGACCUGAGAGGGUGAUCGGCCACACUGGAACUGAGACACGGUCCAGACUCCUACGGGAGGCAGCAGUAGGGAAUCUUCCGCAAUGGGCGAAAGCCUGACGGAGCAACGCCGCGUGAGUGAUGAAGGUCUUCGGAUCGUAAAACUCUGUUAUUAGGGAAGAACAAAUGUGUAAGUAACUAUGCACGUCUUGACGGUACCUAAUCAGAAAGCCACGGCUAACUACGUG
rnacentral:rRNA from 1 species